GAUGAACGCUGGCGGCGUGCCUAACACAUGCAAGUCGAACGAAGCACCUUACCUGAUUCUUCGGAUGAAAGUUUGGUGACUGAGUGGCGGACGGGUGAGUAACGCGUGGGUAACCUGCCCUGUACAGGGGGAUAACAGCUGGAAACGGCUGCUAAUACCGCAUAAGCGCACGAGGAGACAUCUCCUUGUGUGAAAAACUCCGGUGGUACAGGAUGGGCCCGCGUCUGAUUAGCUGGUUGGCAGGGUAACGGCCUACCAAGGCAACGAUCAGUAGCCGGUCUGAGAGGAUGAACGGCAACAUUGGAACUGAGACACGGUCCAAACUCCUACGGGAGGCAGCAGUGGGGAAUAUUGAACAAUGGGGGAAACCCUGAUGCAGCAACGCCGCGUGAGUGAAGAAGUAUUUCGGUAUGUAAAGCUCUAUCAGCAGGGAAGAUAAUGACGGUACCUGACUAAGAAGCUCCGGCUAAAUACGUG
rnacentral:rRNA from 1 species